UACGAAGGGUGCAAGCGUUACUCGGAAUUACUGGGCGUAAAGCGUGCGUAGGUGGUUUGUUAAGUCUGUUGUGAAAGCCCCGGGCUCAACCUGGGAAUGGCAAUGGAUACUGGCAGGCUAGAGUGCGGUAGAGGGUAGUGGAAUUCCCGGUGUAGCGGUGAAAUGCGCAGAUAUCAGGAAGAACACCCGUGGCUAAGGCGGCUCUCUAGUACGGUACUGACGCUGAGACGCGAAAGCGUGGGGAGCGAACAGG
rnacentral:rRNA from 1 species